rnacentral:rRNA from 1 species
UACGUAGGGUGCAAGCGUUGUCCGGAAUUAUUGGGCGUAAAGAGCUCGUAGGCGGUCUGUCGCGUCGGAUGUGAAAACCCAGGGCUCAACCCUGGGCCUGCAUUCGAUACGGGCAGACUAGAGUUCGGUAGGGGAGACUGGAAUUCCUGGUGUAGCGGUGAAAUGCGCAGAUAUCAGGAGGAACACCGAUGGCGAAGGCAGGUCACUGGGCCGCAACUGACGCUGAGGAGCGAAAGCGUGGGGAGCGAACAGG